GUGCCUCUGAUUGCUUAUUGCACCACAUGUGUUUUUCUUUGAAACAAACUUGCUUUGGCGGUGGGCCCAGCCUGCCGCCAGAGGUCUAAACUUACAACCAAUUUUUUAUUAACUUGUCACACCAGAUUAUUACUAAAUAGUCAAAACUUUCAACAACGGAUCUCUUGGUUCUCGCAUCGAUGAAGAACGCAGCGAAAUGCGAUACGUAAUAUGAAUUGCAGAUAUUCGUGAAUCAUCGAAUCUUUGAACGCACAUUGCGCCCUCUGGUAUUCCGGAGGGCAUGCCUGUUUGAGCGUCGUUUCUCCCUCAAACCGCUGGGUUUGGUGUUGAGCAAUACGACUUGGGUUUGCUUGAAAGACGGUAGUGGUAAGGCGGGAUCGCUUUGACAAUGGCUUAGGUCUAACCAAAAACAUUGCUUGCGGCGGUAACGUCUACCACGUAUAUCUUCAAACUUUGACCUCAAAUCAGGUAGGACUACCCGCUGAACUUAAGCAUAUCAAAAGGCGGAGGAA
rnacentral:rRNA from 1 species